UAUUAUAACAAAAGCAUAUAUGUCAGGUAAAAGUAUAACUGGCAGCAAAGUAUUCUAAUGUUUUUUUGUUUUUUUCAGAGGAGGAUAAAAACAUCAGUUAAACCUAGAAUUUGAUGAGUUAUUUGUACAUGUUAAUAUUUGUAGUGUAACCCUUAAAGAAAAAGAAACAGAGUGAUGGUCUCAGCUGGGACUCUUUGUCUCUGCUCAAUGAAAUCUCUCAUUCUUCAGCAGACUAGCUUGCUCUUGUUCACAUGAUGGAAGCUUAGAAAAGUAUUUUCUUUUUUAAAUCGCAUUACAGUUAUUGCAGUUAACUGGGUAAAAGGAGAAGUAUCUUUUAUACUCAACAUUACUUCAAAAUUAGGAAUGUAAUUAGACUUGCCCCUAGAUCUUAUUAUUUAAUACAUUGAUGAAGAUACACAAUACUACAGUUGACCCUUGAAAAACGCUGCGUAUUAGUCAGCAUUUAACUUAUAGGUGGCCCCCCAUAUCUGCAGAGAUUCAACCCAUCACAGACCAUGUAGUAUUGCAAUAUAUACUAUUAAAAAAUAUCUGCAUAUAAGUUGGCCCCUGCAGUUCAAAUCUGCUGCUGUUCAAGGGUCAACUUCUAUAUGACAAAUGUAUUAACAUAUAUAUAGCUGCAUUUCAAUAUGAUUGAUUUCUUUUGCAAUCCUAUAAUUUUAUUUUGUGCAUUUAAAAAUCUUUUCUCUUUUCUGUCUGACAUCUUAGCAAGUAGGCACUCCUCUGGUAGCUGCUCUCCCGGCUUUGCUUUGCCGCCCAAGGACAACAAGAAGAAGAAAGAUGCCGGAAAGUUGGCCAAGAAAGACAAAGACCCAGUGAACAAAUCUGGGGGCAAGGCCAAAAAGAAGGACUUAUUAAACUGGUUUCAAAGCACAGAGCUCAAGUAGUUUACACCUGAAAUACCAAGGGUGGAGAUGCCCCAGCUGCUGGAGAAGAUGCAUAAACAGGUCCCAUCAACUGUACACUGUACAUUUUGAAAAAUAAAACUUUAAUUAAAAAAAUUUAAAAAAAUGAA
rnacentral:lncRNA from 1 species